rnacentral:rRNA from 1 species
UACGUAGGGGGCGAGCGUUGUCCGGAUUUAUUGGGCGUAAAGAGCUCGUAGGCGGCUUGUUGCGUCGACCGUGAAAACCCGGGGCUCAACUUCGGGCUUGCGGUCGAUACGGGCGGGCUAGAGUUCGGUAGGGGAGACUGGAAUUCCUGGUGUAGCGGUGAAAUGCGCAGAUAUCAGGAGGAACACCGGUGGCGAAGGCGGGUCUCUGGGCCGAUACUGACGCUGAGGAGCGAAAGCGUGGGGAGCGAACAGG